rnacentral:lncRNA from 1 species
UGAGUAAAAUUUACCUGAAGAAAGAUUGCAUUUUUUUUCCAAUCAUUUAGUCAACAAAUAUGUUCAUUCCUGCUUUCUAGAUUUGCACCCAUAUUAGAAAGUUUUUCACAAAAUCAAAAUUCAUGACCAUACCAAUCUCAGAUUAAACACAAAGCACUAUUAACUGCCUCAGAUUAUGUAGAAAUGCAAACUAAUAUAGACCCUAGAGAGAAAAACAACCUACCCACUUGAGAUUGAACAUAAAGCAAAACAAAUUGCCACAAAUUAGGAAUAUAAGAUAGUACUAACCAUAUUCUACAUUAUUGUCGAGGAAAGGACGACCCCUCUAUCCAACCUUCAAAUUCCAAAAGGGGACAAUCCAUACUGAGCAAAUUGAUGAGCAGAAAAAUUGACCUUCCUCAUCGUCUUAGUUUCUCUCUGGGCAGUGACGCCGAGAACCCCUUCGCCGAAAACGCUUCAUCGUCGCAGUGAGUAGAAAGAGGGCAACGCAGAUAUUGGAGUAAACGUUUUCUCAAAUCCCAAACGUCGUUAAUGGUUUUAUUUCGUCUUUUAGAACCGUUCACCGCUUUUCCAAGCAGCCGUAACCUUGACAUGGGAUGAACUCGUAGUUUCAUUUCCUCUGAAAUCAAAAGUGUGGCAAACACCCGGGUGGAAUCAGCGGAGAAG